rnacentral:rRNA from 1 species
GGGGUAAAAUCCGUAGAGAUACUAGGAAUACCAAAAGCGAAGGCGAUCUUCUGGAACAGUACUGACGCUGAGGCGCGAAAGCGUGGGNAGCCAACAGGAUUAGAAUACCCUGGUAGUCCACGCCCUAAACGAUGAAUGUUAGUCGUCGGGUAGCUAGUCUAUUCGGUGAUGCAGUUAACACAUUAAACAUUCCGCCUGGGGAGUACGGUCGCAAGAUUAAAACUCAAAGGAAUAGACGGGGACCCGCACAAGUGGUGGAGCAUGUGGUUUAAUUCGAAGAUACGCGAAGAACCUUACCUGGCCUUGACAUUGAAAGAAUCUUUCAGAGAUGAGAGAGUGCCCUUUUGGGAGCUUGAAAACAGGUGCUGCACGGCUGUCGUCAGCUCGUGUCGUGAGAUGUUGGGUUAAGUCCCGCAACGAGCGCAACCCUCGUCACUAGUUACUAACGGUUCGGCCGAGGACUCUAGUGAGACUGCCUUCGUAAGGAGGAGGAAGGUGAGGACGACGUCAAGCCAUCAUGGCCCUUACGGCCAGGGCAACACACGUGCUACAAUGGGCAGGACAAUGAGACGCGAUACUGCAAGGUGGAGCAAAUCUAUAAACCUGUUCUCAGUUCGGAUUGUACUCUGCAACUCGAGUGCAUGAAGCGUGG